AUAUAUAGAUAUAUAUAUAUAUUUGAGCUAGAAUACUCUCAAAAGCACCCAGAGGUCGGUGCUUUUGAGUUUUUAACCCUUGGAUAAAGAAAUGUGAGGUUAAGAUGAUGGUGGUAGGUGAAAUAGUAUUUGAUCCAAGGGUUAUUAGUAUUUUAGGAGUAGAUCCAAUGGCUAAAAACUUAAUAGCACCAAGGGGAUGAUACUUCUAAAAGUAUUCUAGUUCAAUUAUAUAUAUAUAUAUA
rnacentral:lncRNA from 1 species